GACGAACGCUGGCGGCGUGCUUAACACAUGCAAGUCGAACGGAAAGGCCCUGCUUUUGUGGGGUGCUCGAGUGGCGAACGGGUGAGUAACACGUGAGUAACCUGCCCUUGACUUUGGGAUAACUUCAGGAAACUGGGACUCAUACCGGAUAGGAGCUCCUGCUGCAUGGUGGGGGUUGGAAAGUUUCGGCGGUUGGGGAUGGACUCGCGGCUUAUCAGCUUGUUGGUGGGGUAGUGGCUUACCAAGGCUUUGACGGGUAGCCGGCCUGAGAGGGUGACCGGCCACAUUGGGACUGAGAUACGGCCCAGACUCCUACGGGAGGCAGCAGUGGGGAAUAUUGCACAAUGGGCGGAAGCCUGAUGCAGCAACGCCGCGUGCGGGAUGACGGCCUUCGGGUUGUAAACCGCUUUCGCCUGUAACGAAGCGUGAGUGACGGUAAUGGGUAAAGAAGCACCGGCUAACUACGUG
rnacentral:rRNA from 1 species